rnacentral:rRNA from 1 species
CACGAGGGGAACAAGCGAUAUCCUGGCAUGACUGGGCGUUAAAGCGUUUAUCGCGGUCUCAAUCCAAAUAUAGAUAAAAGUAAAGUAUAUUUAGUGAAGGAGAUGACUUUGAGGACGAAAGAAGUAAAUGGUACUUUCUAAUAAUAGGGGUGACAUCCCUGUGACAUUUGAUGGGAACCGUCAUUGGGUUAUUGCGUUUACUUGCUUCGUUUAAUUAUAUACCUGGACGCUGCUAGACGAAAGUGUGGGAGCAAACAG